AUGACAAGAAGAAGUGGAUGAGUCGUUGUUCUGUGAUCCACCAUUAAACGCCUAGAAGACGACAAAGUUGUUGUUCGACUGAACAUUAGAAUGGGCAAGACGUCCGAUCUGAGCGACUUUGACCGUGGUAUGAUUGUUGGUGCCAGGCGUGGUGGAGCCAAUGUCAAAGAAACCGCUGCCCUUCUGGGAUUUUCAUGCACUACUGUCUCUAGAGUGUACAGAGAAUGGAGCCAAAAACAAAAAACAUCCAGUCAGCGGAAGCUAUGUGGGCGAAAACGCCUUGUUAAUGAGACAGGUGAGAAGAUAAUCGAUACAAUCAUUCAAGCGGACAGAUUGGCCACCCAUGCUGAAAUAACAGCUAUUUACAACAGUAGUGUGCAAAAGACCAUCUCUAAACACACAACGCGCCGAACCUUAAAGCGGAUGGGCUACUCGAAGACCAUGCCAGUUUCCACCCCCUGCAAAGUACAAGAAGCGCCCAACACAGAGCUGCUAUCUUCAGAAGUGCCGUUGCACACCAGCUGAAGCAUGCACCAGGAAGAAGUGGGGGUCGGCUACAAAAAGGGAAAUAACUUUGAAUAAGCUUCUACAGUAUGUGCUCCCCAUUUAAAAUAGAACAUUUAGUCAUUAUCUACUUACCCUUAUGCCAGUCAAAACUACAUACACAUAACGAUACUACAUGACACAUGUAAUAUGAUAUAAUUCUUACUAAAUGAAAAAGUACAGUGCCCUCCAAAAAAUAAAUGAAAUGAUAAUUUAAAAA